CAAGUACUCCCUCCGUCCAGAAUUACUUGUCAUCAAAAUGGAUGUGUCUAGAACUAAAAUACAUCUAGAUACAUCCAUUUCAAUGACAAGUAUUUUCGGACAGAGGGAGUACAAG
rfam:Triticum aestivum genome assembly, contig: Triticum_aestivum_CS42_TGACv1_scaffold_094648_2AL